UGAUUUGCUAGAUGAAUUCUCUUGAUUCACUUCUCAAAGUUUGCCACAAUUUGCCUCGCAACAAAGAUGAUCUUUCGUUGUAUGAAGCUGGGCGGUUCAGUCUGCAAACCCCAAAUGGGAAGCUGAUUGCAGACGUUGGCUGUGAGCCCAUUCUACACAUGAGACAGUUUCAGGCUACAAAGAGAUUGCCGGAGAAGCUAGUCAAGCAGAUCCUCCACAAUCCCCACAGCGGAAGAUAAAGCUUGCAGCAAAGCAAAGAUCCAGAAAGGAACCUUACACCGCGAGUCCUGAUGGAUCCGCCAUCCACAUUAUACACAACUUCAAUGUUAUGGAUGCUCAAUUUUCAGCUGCAUAAUUUAUUUUGUUUUUUUCCUUUUGGAAUUGAUAUUUAAUACAAUAGGAUGUUAGAAUUAGUGGUGUUCCUUGAUUGUUCUUUUUAUAUCUUGUAACUCUACAUUCUAGAUAUGUUGUUAUAGAAGGAAUGUGAUGUUAGUUUGUGACCGUGGAAAGGAACAGCUCCAUUUAAGAAUAAAAGCUCCAUAAUAUUA